rnacentral:rRNA from 1 species
UAAAACGACUCUCGGCAACGGAUAUCUCGGCUCUCGCAUCGAUGAAGAACGUAGCGAAAUGCGAUACUUGGUGUGAAUUGCAGAAUCCCGUGAACCAUCGAGUCUUUGAACGCAAGUUGCGCCCCAAGCCAUUAGGCCGAGGGCACGCCUGCCUGGGUGUCACGC